CAUUUGACUUCAACGAUUACAAAAUUAACUAUUCAGAUAAAAGAGAGUCAUCUCGGAGGGAAAUAUGUAAAAGCGAUACUCCACAAACCUCAAGGGCAAGAAGAGUUCCUCCAAAGGAAUAGUUAAUUCUCCCAAAGGAUACAAAAGGCAUUUAUGAAAUGGAUGACAAACAUUGUAAGGAAUCUACUUUCCUCCAAAUGAAUAUAAAUUCUAUUAAAAAAAAAAUCUCCAAAGAAUUUUGAAAGGAAAUGUUCUGCCCCUUUCCUCCUACCAGGAAUAUCUGCUGAAGCAGUAUGAAGGGGAGAUGUGAACACUGGAUUGUUUUAGCUCGUGCCAUUAAAGAAAGCAUGUACAUUAAGGCAGC
rnacentral:lncRNA from 1 species